AUUGAACGCUGGCGGAAUGCUUUACACAUGCAAGUCGAACGGCAGCACGGGGGCAGCCCUGGUGGCGAGUGGCGAACGGGUGAGUAAUACAUCGGAACGUGCCCGUUCGUGGGGGAUAACGUAGCGAAAGUUACGCUAAUACCGCAUACGAUCUGAGGAUGAAAGCGGGGGACCUUCGGGCCUCGCGCGCUCGGAGCGGCCGAUGUCAGAUUAGGUAGUUGGUGGGGUAAAGGCCUACCAAGCCGACGAUCUGUAGCUGGUCUGAGAGGACGACCAGCCACACUGGGACUGAGACACGGCCCAGACUCCUACGGGAGGCAGCAGUGGGGAAUUUUGGACAAUGGGCGCAAGCCUGAUCCAGCCAUGCCGCGUGCAGGACGAAGGCCUUCGGGUUGUAAACUGCUUUUGUACGGAACGAAAAGGCUCUGGCUAAUACCUGGGGCUCAUGACGGUACCGUAAGAAUAAGCACCGGCUAACUACGUG
rnacentral:rRNA from 1 species